rnacentral:rRNA from 1 species
AUUGAACGCUGGCGGCAUGCCUUACACAUGCAAGUCGAACGGUAACAGGUUAAGCUGACGAGUGGCGAACGGGUGAGUAAUAUAUCGGAACGUGCCCAGUCGUGGGGGAUAACUGCUCGAAAGAGCAGCUAAUACCGCAUACGACCUGAGGGUGAAAGCGGGGGAUCGCAAGACCUCGCGCGAUUGGAGCGGCCGAUAUCCGAUUAGGUAGUUGGUGGGGUAAAGGCCUACCAAGCCUACGAUCUGUAGCUGGUCUGAGAGGACGACCAGCCACACUGGGACUGAGACACGGCCCAGGCUCCUACGGGAGGCAGCAGUGGGGAAUUUUGGACAAUGGACGCAAGUCUGAUCCAGCCAUGCCGCGUGCGGGAAGAAGGCCUUCGGGUUGUAAACCGCUUUUGUCAGGGAAGAAAAGGUUCUGGUUAAUACCUGGGACUCAUGACGGUACCUGAAGAAUAAGCACCGGCUAACUACGUGCCAGCAGCCGCCGUAAUAC